AUUAAAAAGUGAAAGAAUUAUGAGUUUACAUGCUACUUUUUUUUUUUUAAUUCUUCUAUUAAUCUAUGGCAUCUAUUAAGUUUAACCACAACGAAUAAAUGGACAAAUAAAAGGUAUAAUAAAGUCAGCUAUGAUACCACACUGGCAUAUUAACUUGUUCGGAGGAGACUGGAAAUUAAAAUUAGAUCUUUAGUAGAUUUUAAUAAAAAUUGAUGAAAUGUGUGGUUGAAAGUUGUGACUUGUAAGUUUCAUGAAAUAUGUGGUUAAAAUUAAUUAUCAACCUUGACAUGGAUUAAAAUUUAGUUUUUAAUCUUUACCAAACAAUGGUUAAAUAAAAAUGAUGUUGAGCGCUUGACAAAGAACAAUUUUUAAAGGCAAAAUGAUAAAACAUAAAAUGCAAAAUCUAAUGUAUUUGAUGUGACAAAAUUAAAUGAAUACUCAUGAUAAAAUUAAAUGAAUACUCAUGAUUAACUGUCGCUUUGAGAGGGAAGCAGGAAGCUUAAAUCAAAUGAAAUUUUCAAUAAAAUCGAAUAUAAGCUUAUGCAUUGUUUCGUGGAGAUUAAAUCAGAUUUUUAGUAGAUUCUAAUUGAAGUCGAUAAAAUGCGCAGUUGAAAAGUUGUGAGUUCCAUGAAAUAUAUAAUUAAAAAUUAAUUGUUAAUUUUAACUUAAAUUAAAAUUUUAAUUUUAAUUUUUACAAAACAGAGGCUUAAUGAUCUUACCUAAUUUUCCAAUAAUAAAGGGUAAUGCUAUUAAAUAGUGAGAACUAUAAAUACUCAUGCAUACAUAUGACAUAUUGUUAUUUGAUGCAUGAAGAUAUUAAAAACUUCAACAUUAAUGUAUUAAAUAAAAAACAGCUACAUGUAUAUCGACGACUAUUGAUAGUCCUCAUUAUAAAUAGCAUUAUUCAAUAAAAAAAUAUUAAUACGAUUAGUCUGAAAUGGAAUCUAGUAGGGGAAAUACCUUAAUUGUUAUAGAAGUUACACAAAAUAUGGGCUUUCCAACAAGGAAACUAACUAGGGAUGGCAAAAGUACCCGUCAAACUCAAUACCCCAGGACCCGCCCCUAAUGGGGCGAUAAUCGGGUCGGGUACGAUAUAGGAAGUUCCGCCCCGAGAUGGGUAUGGGGCGGGUACAGGUAAGUUUUUCUAUUUAAAGAAUUGAAUUAUUAAAAUAAAAUAAAAUAAAUUAAACUGGGUGGGCAUGGGUAACGGGGGCCCGCCCCGUUUAAUGGUAUUGAAGGUCUUCUUUUUGGAUAAAAUAAAACGAGGCGGGUGCGAAUACAAAUAAUAUUGAAUUGUAUGAAAGUUGUGAAUGACUAAUAGAG
rnacentral:lncRNA from 1 species